AACGCUGGCGGCAUGCCUUACACAUGCAAGUCGAACGGUAACAGGUCUUCGGAUGCUGACGAGUGGCGAACGGGUGAGUAAUACAUCGGAACGUGCCCGAUCGUGGGGGAUAACGGAGCGAAAGCUUUGCUAAUACCGCAUACGAUCUACGGAUGAAAGCAGGGGACCGCAAGGCCUUGCGCGGACGGAGCGGCCGAUGGCAGAUUAGGUAGUUGGUGGGAUAAAAGCUUACCAAGCCGACGAUCUGUAGCUGGUCUGAGAGGACGACCAGCCACACUGGGACUGAGACACGGCCCAGACUCCUACGGGAGGCAGCAGUGGGGAAUUUUGGACAAUGGGCGAAAGCCUGAUCCAGCCAUGCCGCGUGCAGGAUGAAGGCCUUCGGGUUGUAAACUGCUUUUGUACGGAACGAAAAGACUCCUUCUAAUAAAGGGGGUCCAUGACGGUACCGUAAGAAUAAGCACCGGCUAACUACGUGCCAGCAGCCGCGGUAAUACGUAGGGUGCAAGCGUUAAUCGGAAUUACUGGGC
rnacentral:rRNA from 1 species